GUGGGGAAUAUUGCACAAUGGGCGAAAGCCUGAUGCAGCAACGCCGCGUGAGUGAUGAAGGUCUUCGGAUUGUAAAGCUCUGUCUUUUGGGACGAUAAUGACGGUACCAAAGGAGGAAGCCACGGCUAACUACGUGCCAGCAGCCGCGGUAAUACGUAGGUGGCGAGCGUUGUCCGGAUUUACUGGGCGUAAAGGGUGCGUAGGCGGAUGUUUAAGUGAGAUGUGA
rnacentral:rRNA from 1 species